AGCAGUAAACUAAAGUAAUGAAGUGUUUUUCUCAGGCUGGUAAACCUGUUGACGAAAAUUAGACCAAUGAGAAGGGAGGGAGUGGUACAUGUGCUACACACACAGACACACACACACGCACACGCAUGCACGCAAGCACGCACACACGCACACACCACAAACUCAUACACCCUCACACACACAUAGCGCACUUAUAGAUAUAACACAUGCGCAUACAUAUAACCGCAGCAUUGCCAGAAAGCUAUCCUGCACACAUACGCGGACACCUACAUAAAUACAUACACACACAUAUAUAUAUAUACAUAUAUAUAUUAUAUAUAUAUAUAUGCAUGUCUGUAUACACAUAUGCGCGCAUAUAUGUAUACAUAAGCACAGUGUGACAUAUAUAUACACAAACACACUCGCUCGCGCGUAUCCACACUGAACUGACAACUGAUAACACUCAACGUGUUUCAGGUUGUAUACGCACACAUAGAAACCCAGUCCAUAUACACAUACACAUACGUAUACAUAUACAUACAUAUACAUAUACACACAUAAAGAUCUUAAUUCGCUACCAGUGCGUGCUUGGAGUUCCUUCUUGGUACAUCUGAAAUAUAUGUAUAUAUACAUAUACACAUAUAUAUAAUAUAUAUAUGCAUAUAUAUAUACAUAUAUAUAUAUAAACAUCUAACUACCCCAGGAUUGUAUAUAACAGAAAUCCAGCAAAAUGCAGGUUCUACCCUUGGCUCAUGAUUUCCCUAGCAAGCACAUGACCUUUUCUGGUCUGCUUGCUGUGCUGGUUGGUUUGUUCACUUUCAUAAUAUCUUGCGUCUACGCAGGAGGCAUGAUCAUUGGAACAUUGAUCUGUUGUUUAUUUCUUACUAUAGUCGGUGUGUUCCUCAUUCUUACUGGUCUCUACGUCUUGAAACCAAUAGUGGAAAAUACCUUGAUCCAGAUGGUGUUGAUUGGUCUCGGUUUAUUAUUUGCCUUCAUCUCAUUUUGUAUAUUUUGUGCCGUUGCAGAUGUAAGUUG